CAGUCGCCGCGGUAAUACGGAGGGAGCUAGCGUUGUUCGGAAUUACUGGGCGUAAAGCGCGCGUAGGCGGUUACUCAAGUCAGAGGUGAAAGCCCGGGGCUCAACCCCGGAACUGCCUUUGAAACUAGGUGACUAGAAUCUUGGAGAGGUCAGUGGAAUUCCGAGUGUAGAGGUGAAAUUCGUAGAUAUUCGGAAGAACACCAGUGGCGAAGGCGACUGACUGGACAAGUAUUGACGCUGAGGUGCGAAAGCGUGGGGAGCAAACAGGAUUAGAUACCCCAGUAGUCCCUGUCUCUUAUCC
rnacentral:rRNA from 1 species